UACGUAGGGGGCAAGCGUUGUCCGGAAUUAUUGGGCGUAAAGAGCGCGUAGGCGGUCCGAUUAGUCGGCUGUGAAAGUCCAGGGCUCAACCCUGGAAAGCCGGCCGAUACUGUCGGACUAGAGUCCGGAAGAGGCAAGUGGGAAUUCUCGGUGUAGCGGUGAAAUGCGUAGAUAUCGAGAGGAACACCUGCGGCGAAGGCGGGUUGCUGGGCUGACACUGACGCUGAUGCGCGAAGCCAGGGGAGCGAACGGG
rnacentral:rRNA from 1 species